GUGGGUGUAGCUCAGUUGGUUAGAGCAUCAGUUUGUGGCACUGAGGGUCGUGGGUUCGAGCCCCAUCUCCCACC
rnacentral:tRNA from 1 species